UACGUAGGGUGCAAGCGUUAAUCGGAAUUACUGGGCGUAAAGCGUGCGCAGGCGGCUUUGCAAGACAGAUGUGAAAUCCCCGGGCUUAACCUGGGAACUGCAUUUGUGACUGCAAGGCUGGAGUGCGGCAGAGGGGGAUGGAAUUCCGCGUGUAGCAGUGAAAUGCGUAGAUAUGCGGAGGAACACCGAUGGCGAAGGCAAUCCCCUGGACCUGCACUGACGCUCAUGCACGAAAGCGUGGGGAGCAAACAGG
rnacentral:rRNA from 1 species